rnacentral:rRNA from 1 species
UACGGAGGAUGCGAGCGUUAUCCGGAUUUAUUGGGUUUAAAGGGUGCGUAGGCGGCCUUGUAAGUCAGCGGUGAAAUUUUGCAGCUUAACUGUAAAAGCGCCGUUGAUACUGUGGAGCUAGGAUUUGGUUGCUGUGGGCGGAAUGUGUGGUGUAGCGGUGAAAUGCUUAGAUAUCACACAGAAUAUCGAUUGCGAAGGCAGCUCACAAAGCCAUUAUUGACGCUGAUGCACGAAAGUGUGGGGAUCAAACAGGAUUAGAUACCCUGGUAGUCCACACUGUAAACGAUGAUAACUCGCUGUCGGCGAUACACAGUCGGUGGCCAAGCGAAAGCGAUAAGUUAUCCACCUGGGGAGUACGACCGCAAGGUUGAA